CAAAAACCUAUCUGGCCGGCAGACUUUUCCUUGGUCCGCUUCACAUCCAUCAAGGCUUCGCUCUCCCUGGUAUUCUUUCUUCCCUCCGCCCCAUGCAGCUUGGCAUCAUAAAGCAAUGUUCAUGGAGAGAGCCAGCUGAAGCCCAGCCUGACCGCAUCAUUACCCAGGGAGCCCUCGUGCUUGGAAGCUGACCAACAGGAAAGGUAUGGCAGCAAGGGGAAGGAGCGGGGACUUCUGACCAAUGUCUGCACCGUGCACCAACGAUCAUGACAAAUCUGUAAGCUCUGAAACACGCACGCCGAAAGAUGCAAGAAGUUCUUGGAAUUGCAACCGACAUCAGCAUGCCAACCACCCUUUGAGCUGUUAGAAGCCACGCAGUGACAUCCCAUACUUCAGUGGAAGGGAGUCCGGGAGACUGCCUGCCCUUACUGCUGUGUGGCCUUAGACAGGACUUGGGCUGAGAGCUGCAGAACCAAAUCUGUGGUCACUUUGGAGACACAGGACUAACAACAUGAUUCGCAUUUGCAGCAAGAAGCCGUUCUAUGGCGCUCUUCCCACUUGGAAUUAUUUAUUGAACACCUGCAUUCCCACCUGACCACAAGC